UCAGAUGGCCGGAUGGCCGCUCUUGUCCGCAAGGACGGGAGAGGAAAGUCCGGGCUCCACGGAAACACGGUGACGGAUAACAUCCGCCGGGGGUAACCCCAGGGAUAGCGCCACAGAAAUCAAACCGCCUCUAUUUCGAUGGAGGUAAGGGUGAAACGGUGCGGUAAGAGCGCACCGCGUCCUUGGCGACAAGGAUGGCACGGCAAGCCCCACCGGGAGCAAGACCGAAUAGGGACGGCAUGUAAUCUGUUUCCGGAUAGCCGUCCGGGUUGGUCGCACGAGGCGUUCGGCAACGAACGUCCCAGAGGAAUGGCCAUACAGUCUCCCGAAGCCUCGGCGCAGGGAGAUGGACAGAACCCGGCUUACAGGCCGUCUGACGCA
rnacentral:RNase_P_RNA from 1 species